rnacentral:rRNA from 1 species
UACGGAGGGGGCUAGCGUUGUUCGGAAUUACUGGGCGUAAAGCGCACGUAGGCGGCGAUUUAAGUCAGAGGUGAAAGCCCGGGGCUCAACCCCGGAAUAGCCUUUGAGACUGGAUUGCUUGAACAUCGGAGAGGUGAGUGGAAUUCCGAGUGUAGAGGUGAAAUUCGUAGAUAUUCGGAAGAACACCAGUGGCGAAGGCGGCUCACUGGCCCGGUACUGACGCUGAGAUACGAAAGCGUGGGGAGCAAACAGG